GUUGGCAUUGAUCGGUCGCUUGGCGCCCUUCCAACUUCCAAACCAAACAAACACCUAGAAGAGAAGCCUCUGAAUAAAGUUGAUGAAAAAAAUCUCAUACAUUUUGUUCCUCCAUCCAUCACUUUUCAGUACGACACUACCUUCUACACACGGAUUCGAUGGUGGCAGGAGAGAUGGUUGAAUCGGAUAUAUGUCCAGCCGAGGAUGCUGUUCAGUCCUUCUUGGAGUACUUGGUUGAGCAAAUGCUUCCGGCUAAAUCUUUUCUGCAGGGCACUCCAUCGCAGUCUCUACAGCAAUCAGUCGCAAAACAGCUGCAUGCCAUUGUGUUACUGUACAACUACUACCUAAGGAAACGACAUCCGCAGUUGGAAGUCUUGGGGUUUGAGGCCUUUUGCAAAUUGGUUGUGAUUCUGAAACCGGCGUUAUUGGCGCAUAUGAAACUCAUGCAAAGAUCUGACGAUACCGAAUUGGAUGACUUGGAGAAACAGCUUUCAGUUACAGAGAGAACAAUCAUGGAAGCAUGUGAUAUAUCCACAAAAUUAGACGCAUCAAACGAUGUUCCAAAUAUAGAGGGAUGGCCAAUGUCCAAAGUUUCAGUACUCUUAUUUGACUACAAGAAGGAGAACUGCUUCUUGCUAUUCAGUUCCAUCACCCAGGGAGUUUGGUCUGUGAUUGAAAAAGAUGUUGACAUCUCUAACCUCAAUUCAGAAGGUCAAGUAGAGGCAAAACAGAUGAACAGGAAGAGAAGACUCAUUAGAAAACCUUCUAAAGAAGACCCAAAUGUCAAUGAAUCUGCUUUGCUCCAGCUUGCAUAUUUAGCUGUUAAGGAGGCAACGGGUAUUAAUCAGACUGAACUAGUGGUUUCGGAAAGCCAUGUUGUAUGUUCUCUCAGCAAAGAAAAGACAGCUCUUCGCUUUUAUAUAAUGUACUGCACCCAAUCAGUCAAUGAGGAGGGAUUUCAAGUUCCCAUUAAAGAUGCUUUAGAAAGCUUGCAGGGUCCUUUGGUCAGAAAAAGCUCCAGCAGAUGGAUGGUUACACCAGUUGUUAAGUACUUCCACAUGCUUCCUUAUGCUGGCAUAGUGUCAACCUGGCUUUCGAGGGAAGUGGCUUCAGGUUUGCAGGAUGCAAGAGUGGGAGGGGGAAAUUCGAACUUGAAUGGCCCUGACAGGACUGAGAACGAUUUAAGGGUGGGAAAAGGAAAUUCAAAUUUAAAUAGCCCUGACAGGACAGAAAAACUCUGCAUUCCAGAAAUCCAUAAAAGUGGAAACAGUCCUCAUAUAGAUGAUGGACUAGUAGGGAUUUUUUGCAACGAGACAAAGAGCAAUGAUACUGAAUCACUUGAGGAGAAGAAUAAGAAUGUAUGUUCAUUGACUGGCUUGUCCGGUUCUCUCAAUAGGCCUCACAACAUGGAUGUUAACGAGUCUUUUAUGGUUUCCUCCCAGAAUGGAGAGAAAUGCAAGAAGAUUGCAGAUACUAUCCAAGUUGACAAUCAUCAAGAAAAUACAAGUAACUUUAGGGAAAGUGAUUUAAAUGGCUCAACAAGUAACAUCGAAGUUAAGGAUGAGAUGGAGGACUCAAUGGUGAGGCCUGGCAUUACUGAAUGCGGUGGUAAACAAAAUGCUGAUGGAAAUAGAACCUACGACAAUAUGUUGACAGCUCAAGAUGUGAUAGGUGAUCAUGAUCUGGUCACUUGUCAAUCCAAUUCGAUAAAUCUUUACAAAUUGCAGAAUACCAUAGCAUCAAAACAAAGCGACUUGUCACCCUCUGCUUUGAGAGUUCUUCUUAGAAAAAGGGAUGAACUGUCUUUACAGCUACGCAAGAUAGAAGAUGAAAUUGCUCAAUGUGAUAAACAAAUCCAGAAGAUUUUAAAUGGAACUGGAUAGUGUGUCAUCGGAACAAUUGGAUACUGCCGACUUAUCAUGUAUUGACAUCAGAUGGUGGAUUCAAAGCUGGAAACUGUAGUUGAAGUUUCCCGAUAGUUUUGCAGUAAACUCUUUCAUGAAGUCUUUCACGUAAUUCAUGAAAUCACACUAUGUUUUUUGUCAAUUGGCGGAUCCUUUUACAUGAUAUGCUGCUUGUGUUACUUGAAAUGCAAGAUUGAACUUUUAUAAUUUCUUGGAAGAGAUGAAAAAAUAGCAAACAUUGAAAGAACCGAGGACCAAAUGUUUUGUUCGAGGAACUUUAUAUACGCGUGAUUAGAGUAAAAAUAUCUGACAAAUUUUUUUUUUUUUUUUUUUUUUUUUUACUGCAAAGCAUAAAAGUGUUAAUUAACAUUAAUAUAUUUUAAUGAAUAAAAGGAAAGAGCAUAGUCUCCACAGUGCCAUCAAAACAGCGAAAGUAAUCCAUCCUGCCUCAUAACUAACUAAUUAAUUUACUUCCCAAAUGGCAAAAGUAAACGUUACCGAUCGAGAAUAUAACCCACUUCACUUCAGAAAUGAUUCCAAAGCAAUACAGCUCCAUACAGAUUGGUGGGAAAAACUGCAAACCAUCAAAAUAAUGGU